GGCCAGUCCCUGCUGGCCCGCAGGAGGCAGCUCCACUGGACCCACUUACCUCUGAGGAAACGGGCACGGGGAGCCGGGCGGUUGGAGGAGGGCUAGGCCUCGACCCUGCGGCGGGGCAGGGUUAGGCGCGCCUCAGGCCGGCAUCCGUCGGGGUUUCGCCCGCCCAGCUUGUGCCUGGGACCCGGCUGCAAGAAGUGCACUUUCUCGGAAGGAAGUCGCCGGGACUUGCCUCGGAUGUAUGCAUGCGAGAGAUUGGGGCAUUAACGACACGCAGCCAGUAUCGGUUUGAUUAUGAUUAUCCCGCCACUGCGGACCCAUCUGUUGAAUUCCUGCUCCAAAGGCGCGCAGGUCAGCCCUCCGUGGUGAAAAGGAGAAAAGCGGUAACCUGCUGUUUGGAAUUCCAGGGUGGCAGCCAAAAGCUUAUGCCAUCAUAAAUUUGUUGGACUCAGCGGUGCUACCCGAUUCUGUUUGGUUGUGUUGAUGCGAUAAAAAGUUGACAGCUUGUAAUGUCACAAACCCAAAAUUGAGGCCUUUACUUCACAUUGGUUAAUAAAUACUAACUUCUUC